rnacentral:rRNA from 1 species
AGUGAACGCUGGCGGUAGGCCUAACACAUACAAGUCGAACGGCAGCACAGGAGAGCUUGCUCUCUGGGUGGCGAGUGGCGGACGGGUGAGGAAUACAUCGGAAUCUACUCUGUCGUGGGGGAUAACGUAGGGAAACUUACGCUAAUACCGCAUACGACCUACGGGUGAAAGCAGGGGAUCUUCGGACCUUGCGCGAUUGAAUGGGCCGAUGUCGGAUUAGCUAGUUGGCGGGGUAAAGGCCCACCAAGGCGACGAUCCGUAGCUGGUCUGAGAGGAUGAUCAGCCACACUGGAACUGAGACACGGUCCAGACUCCCACGGGAGGCAGCAGUGGGGAAUAUUGGACAAUGGGCGCAAGCCUGAUCCAGCCAUACCGCGUGGGUGAAGAAGGCCUUCGGGUUGUAAAGCCCUUUUGUUGGGAAAGAAAUCCAGCUGGCUAAUACCCGGUUGGGAUGACGGUACCCAAAGAAUAAGCACCGGCUAACUACGUGCCAGCAGCCGCCGUAA